UCAAGCGAACAAGAGCGCAGGGUGGAUGCCAGGGCACUGAUUGCCGAAGAAGGACGCGAUAAGCUGCGAAAAGCUUCGGGGAGCCGCAAGUAGGCGAUGAUCCGGAGAUCUCCGAAUGGGGGAACCCGGCUGGGGUAAUGCCCAGUCACUCCCGGCUGAAUCAAAUAGGUCGGGCAGAGGGCACCCGGGGAAGUGAAACAUCUAAGUACCCGGAGGAAAAGAAAGAAAACUCGAUUCCCUUAGUAGUGGCGAGCGAAGAGGGAAGAGGCCAAACCGAGGGUCUGCGGACGCUCGGGGUUGAGGAGCGGCGAUAUAUGACGAUAGGUGAGCCGAAGGACCUGGAAAGGUCCGUCAGAGAGGGUGACAAUCCCGUAGGCGAAGCCGACAAUAGUUAGCCGGAUCCAGAGUACCGCGGGACACGUGAAAUCCUGUGGGAAGCAGGGGGGACCACCCCCCAAGCCUAAAGACGAUCAGUGACCGAUAGCGCAUAGUACCGUGAGGGAAAGGUGAAAAGAACCCCGGGAGGGGAGUGAAAGAGAACCUGAAACCCUGCGUUUACAAGCAGAAGAAGAACAAUUAAAGUUCGACUUCGUACUUUUUGUAGAACGGACCGGCGAGUUACGUUAUGCAGCGAGGUUAAGAUCUUCAGGAUCGGAGCCGAAGCGAGAGCGAGUCUGAACAGGGCGAUGUAGUUGCAUGACGUAGACCCGAAACCGGGCGACCUAUCCAUGGGCAGGUUGAAGUGAAGGUAAAGCUUCAUGGAGGACCGAACCAGACGUCCGCUGAAAAGGGCGGGGAUGACCUGUGGAUAGCGGAGAAAUUCCAAUCGAGCUCGGAUAUAGCUGGUUCUCCUCGAAAUAGCUUUAGGGCUAGCCUGAGGUUAGUCUUUCGGGGGUAGAGCACUGAAUAGGCUAGGGGGUAUCAAAGCUUACCGAACCUUAUCAAACUUCGAAUACCGAAAAGAUGAUGCCUUGGAGUCAGACUGCGAGUUAUAAGAUCCGUAGUCAAAAGGGAAACAGCCCAGAUCGACAGCUAAGGUCCCAGAGUGUGUGUUAAGUGGGAAAGGAUGUGCAAUUGCAUAGACAACCAGGAUGUUGGCUUAGAAGCAGCCACGCAUUCAAAGAGUGCGUAAUAGCUCACUGGUCGAGUGAUUGUGCGCCGAAGAUGUAACGGGGCUAAAACACACCACCGAAGCUUCGGGUUCACGCAAGUGAGCGGUAGAGGAGCAUAGUGCAUUGGCAGAAGCGGUACCGUGAGGAGCCGUGGACGAUGCAGUAGAGAGAAUGCCGGUAUGAGUAACGCGAUGCAGGCGAGAAACCUGCACGUCGAAAGCCCAAGGUUUCCUGGGGAAGGUUCAUCCGCCCAGGGUAAGUCGGGGCCUAAGCCGAGGACAACAGUCGUAGGCGAUGGAUAACUGGUGGAGAUUCCAGUACCACCUUUAUGAGCGACGCGCUGACACAGAAGGAUAGCAUGAGCCGGAUGAUGGUAGAACCGGUCUAAGCGGGGGGCUUAAUCAGUAGUGAAGUACGCUGAGGUUUGGCUGACCGUGAUGGGGAUCGAAAUAAAGUAGAGAAGCAUGUGAAUUCAGGCUGGCAAGAAAAGGCGCUAGUAAUUGUAAGGGUGCCCGUACCGCAAACCGACGCAGGUGGGCGAGGAGAAAAUCCUAAGACGAACGAGAGAACCCUUGUUAAGGAACUCGGCAAAAUGACCCCGUAACUUCGGGAGAAGGGGUGCCUCGAAAGAGGUCGCAGAGAAUCGGCCCAAGCGACUGUUUAGCAAAAACACAGGUUUGUGCGAAAGCGAAAGCUGACGUAUACGAGCUGACGCCUGCCCGGUGCCGGAAGGUUAAGAGGAGUUGUCAUCGCAAGAGAAGCAGCGAAUCGAAGCCCCGGUAAACGGCGGCCGUAACUAUAACGGUCCUAAGGUAGCGAAAUUCCUUGUCGGGUAAGUUCCGACCCGCACGAAUGGCGUAACGACUUGGGCGCUGUCUCAACAAGGGACUCGGUGAAAUUGAAGUAUGGGUGAAGAUGCCCAUUACCCGCGACUGGACGGAAAGACCCCGUAGAGCUUUACUGUAGCUUAUCAUUGAGAAUUGGUAACGGAUGUACAGGAUAGGUGGGAGGCUAGGAAACAUUGUCGUCAGAUGAUGCGGAGCCGCCGUUGGGAUACCACUCUUCUGUUACUGAUUUUCUAACAACUGGCAGUGAUCCUGAAGAUGGACAGUGAUAGGUGGGCAGUUUGACUGGGGCGGUCGCCUCCCAAAGCGUAACGGAGGCGCCCAAAGGUUCCCUCAGAAUGGAUGGAAAUCAUUCGAAGAGUGCAAUGGCAGAAGGGAGCCUGACUGCGAGACACACGAGUCGGGCAGAGACGAAAGUCGGGCAUAGUGAUCAGGUGACAUCGAGUGGAAGAGUCAUCGCUCAACGGAUAAAAGCUACCUCGGGGAUAACAGGCUGA
rnacentral:rRNA from 1 species